AGAAUGCAUCUGGUAAAAUCUUAAUGCAACAAGAAGAAACUUCCACCUAUACUUCUGGGAGCAAUGGUCAGCCCUUAGAUCCCUCACCAAUAAAUCUGGCUUCAGCUAAAUGAAUUUCGUGUUCCACCACUGUGUUUUAUUGUCCCCUUAGGUUAACUAAAACCAUUGUUUUUGCUGCUGCUGCAGCCAGUGGUGUUAUAGAACUUUGUACUUUGGUCUGAGCCAAAAGAUUGCAGGUAACUAUGGAUGAUGAUGAUGAUGAUGAAGGAAAGUCAAACUUUUUUUUCUUCAUCUUUUAAUCUCACUGAGUUAUUUUUAUGUCACUAAAAACACAGCUCCAAACUGAUGUCUCUUCACUAAUCUAUUUAUUUUGUGCUUCCCAAAUGUAUUCCAAAUAGACAACUGUCUGAACGUUGCUUAACUCGUUUUCUUAAACGUUUUGUUAAAAACUAUUGUUUGAUUUAUUUAUCUUAUACAGCUCUAAUGUAGUAUUCUUUUAACAGAAAAAAAAGUCUGGAAUUAUUCAGUCGUCUUCAACACUAAUUUCAAAUGCUCUCUCAAUAAGACUGAUGGGUACUUAUUGAAGCUAUGUGAUCCUAGAAGUUCCUCCCUUUUGUUUGUGUAGAAUGUUCUCAGAUGCUUCCUAGAAUCUUCAGUGCUUUGGAACAUAUGUUUAAUUUCCCAUGGUUUAUGUUUUCUGUUGUGGCAGAGAAAAUAGUAAGCAGAUACUUUGUGACAGUUUGACAAAAUUUUCUCACCUUGUGAGAAGCUGAUUGCAAAAGAGGAAAGCACAUCUCAGACCCACUGCUGAUGGUACGGGUUACUCUCCCCAAAAUAAACUUGCCAGCUUGGAGGAUAUAAUGAAGUAGACCAUUAGUUAGCCUUAAACUUAUGGGACAAUUGGUAGGAGUUAAGAAAGAUCCAUUCUGGGGAAGGAAACAAGAGUCAGCAGUUUCUCCUGGCACCUUCACUACUUUGGGAAGAAUGAAGGGAUGCUCAGGGUAGGAUGUCUGUCCCUGCCUGGGAAAAGCCACAGUCCUUUGUGGCUGCAGAGCAAUCAGGAUGCUGAGUGGUCAGCAGCCAGUGCUUGCUUCACGUAGUAUUUCCUAUGAAGUUAAAAUGUUCAGGCUGUUUGGUUUUGAACCCACAUGGCAAAUUUACUGCGGUAUGAGGAGAUGAGGCUCUGCUGCUUUCUAUGAAGUGGCUUAUGUUUAUGCUGGUGGUGAGUUAGAUAAAAUAUAUUCAUUCUGACUUGAUCGCAGAACCUUUGAUUAAAUUAUAUUUUUCUCUAUUUUCUCAUGAGAACUAUAUCUGGUCAUGUGCAAAUAUCUUGAAACAACACUAAACAUAAAUUAUUUGAUGAACUACUCAGGACUAUUCACUUAAUGCAUGAUAAUCCUGUGAGUGUGUUAACAAGCAGCAAUUCGCUGAUGAUUAAACUGCUUUAAAAUGUCUUUGUACUCAUAUGCCAUUAGAAUGAACUUGGCACUUCUAAAACAUCCAUUAUUCAUCAUGUUCCAGUGUUGCAUCUGACUGUGUAUCACUUUAAUUUCACUCACUUAACAAAGCAAUCCAUUCAUUACAAUAGUUUGCAACAUAUUUUCUAAAUCAGAAAAAAUCUGAUUAAAUAUGCAGUGUUAUUUAUCAUGAAAAAUACAGUAGAAUGAAAAAAUAGCAUCCCAAAUCAUAAUUACAUACUUAGUGAAUUAAAAUAUGCCAAGUAAAACUAAAUGGGUGUCUUAAGAAAAAACUUUGUUGAAAUCAAUGAUGCUGUUAGAUGGGGAAGCAGGUUAUGUAAAACUUUGACCUUUCUUCUAGAAAUAUUUCAGCAAAUAAUUUCUCAGUGGUCUAUGUUCAUCUGUUGUCCUGAUCAUUCAGGAAGGAGACAGGGACAGAGCAUUAUCAUUGCAGAUAGAAAUACUUGUUGCAUAUAUAUUUUUCUUUUUGUUUUUUCUCUGCUCCUUUAUUUGUUCAUUCUACAAUGCCUGCAUCCUGCAAUUCCUUGUCAACUCCAUUAAAUCCUAUAUUAAUUUUGCUCCUGCUUCAAUCACUCAGGCCAGCAUGCCCAAGAGAAGUAUCUCACAAAGCAUCAGACUGCUGAGGUGACUUCUGUAUGAAAAUUUUUUACUCGUGGGCUGUAUGAUCUCAAAAUUACGACUUUUGUCAGAAGAAUUUACUGGAGUACAGGCUAAAUGAACCACUGUUGAAGUGCAUUUUCUUAACAACGUAGCCAAAUGAGUUUCUGAUUCAAGUAGUAAAAUUCUGAUAAAUAGCGGUGGAGACAGACUAACAAUCUCCAAACAAGCUAGAAAACUUUAUUCUCAGAUCAAUGUCUUGCAAAACAUACACAGACAUGAGGUGAUUAAACUUUUCAACUCUAGAUUUUGACAACCACUUCUGUCUUAAUUUUGCUUUAAAAAUGCUCCCUGGGCCUACUGGAAAAUUAGUGAAUAUGAACCUAUGCUUGUUUCUUAAAGGCUUUGGUCACAUGUUUUUAAUACAUUCUGAUUCAAUCUGUUGCCAAAUUCGAAUGUUUUAAUAGAUAAGAAAGGUUACUUAUGUUUUCCUAGCAAACAACAGAUUUAGGGAGUCUCUGGUUGUAUUAACUCUUUCAACAACUCUUGCUACAAUGAAAGUACAAGUAUUAACCGAUGGAUAAGAGAAUCCCUAAAAUAGAACUGUUAAAGAUAAUGGGAACAAAAUACGUGUGGAAGAGAAGUAGUUGUGUGGUUAAGAGGAAGAUAGUGAAAGAGGUAGACUUGGAAAAAUUUAAAUAACCAAUGAUCUCUAUGCUUGGCAAAGAAUGUUGAUGUAAUCGGAGUAAACCAAGGAACCCAACUGUGGAUUCACAGGUUUACGUUCUUGUCUCUUGCUUUGAAUCAGUUUUUCUUUGUUCAUAGACCAGUAAGUAAGAGUUAGUUUGCAGUGAGUUAGGAAUUAAUCAUGGGUAUUUCCAAUUAGUACACUUUUGAAAUGUUUCAGCAUAUAGAUUCAUUUAUCAUUCUUUCUUUGAAAAAAUGGCAGUUUAUGGCACAUGACAUUUAGUGCAUCAUCUUUGGCACUAUCAAUGCUGAGUUAGUGGUAUCUCAAGCUUCAGGAUGCCUUUUUAUAGUAAAACUCCUUAAGGUAUGUUAAGUUUUUCUUUCCAUCUAAUCUUGAUAGUGUUUGUGGAUAUAUUGCUAUAGCUUUGCCUAUAUUUAUAUAUAAUUCAACAUAUGAAAAGCCUUAUGUUGUGCAUGCAAAUAAUUCUGAAUUCACUAUUUCAUACUCUGGAAUUGUUAUUUACAGUGCAAAUAACCCCACAGGUUCUACAAAUUUCUAGAUGAGGACUUUUUUUUAAAAACAAACAAACAAAAAAACCCCCUUCCAUUAAUGCGUCUCUGUUUCUUUACCACACAGCCCCUGUUCUCCCUGGGGCAUAUCAGCAAAGCCAGUCCCAAGGAUAUGGAUACAUGCACCAGACCAGUAUGUCGUCUAUGAGGUCAGUGCAUUCACAGCCUCAUCCAGCAGGCCUGAGAACAUACAGAGCUAUGUAUGACUACAGUGCUCAAGAUGAAGAUGAAGUUUCCUUCAGGGAUGGUGACUAUAUCAUCAACGUGCAACCAAUUGAUGAUGGCUGGAUGUAUGGUACUGUUCAGAGAACUGGGAAAACAGGAAUGCUUCCAGCAAAUUAUAUUGAGUUUGUUAACUAAUUUUUGUCUCUAGUCCUUUGAGCUUUGUUAGGAUUUACUCAAAAUCUAAUCUUUUAGAAAAAGUCAGAAGAAUCUUUUAAGACUACAUGUUCAUUACUUUAUUGCUACUAUGACAGUCUGCAUUCUCACUCAGAAUCCAAUUUAGAGUCCUUUAAAUGCAGAUGAAUAAACAACAAGAGCUUUGAAAACAGCAUGGCUUAUAAUAGUGCUCCCUCAAAAUAAAAUUUAAAAAACAUAUAUGGAAGCCUGGUGCUGCUAAUCCUAUAAAAUCAAUUAGCUGUAAAGGAAAAAUACCUUUUUCCUACAUUUCAAAGGGGUUGUUUCUCUUUAUAGUAACCAUAAAAUUGAUUUGCUUCUUAUGGGAGAUGUCUAAUGCUUGAGAAGUUAGCAUCCUCAUAAAAAGAAAAAUGUUAGAUAAUUCGAUCAUUUGAAAUAAUACCAAGUAAUACAUUUGUUUAGAGAAAAAAAACAAACAAAAACCCUACUGCCCAGCAGCCUUACAAUGAAAAGGUUUAUUUUGACAGUAAAAAUUUCCCAAUUCUCACCUGCGUUUAUUCCUGGAUUACCCAUUUUAUGUUUUUCACAGUAACCUCUUCUAUCAGCUUGGCUUGCAUCCUAGUCCAUCAGUUAGAUCCAUACCUGGUUUCAUGGUUCUUCAGUAUCUUUCCCACAGAAAAUUCCUUGCAGAAAUUAUCUUGAUUAUAAAAGCUAUCAUGUCUUCUGUUUCCUUCAAAUAAUACUUUGCGUUUAAAUAUAAACUUCCAUUAGAGCAAUGUUACUUCCUUCACUUUCCCCUGUAUUGCUGUAAAUAGUGUGUGUGAGGCCCUGGUGCUGUGCAGUCACACAAAGCAUGCAGACACAUCCCUUCAUCUUACCACAAGUAACUUGCUUAAUGGCUGCCUUGCUAAUGAGCUAAUGUACCUACCCUGCUGCAGAAAUAAUUGCACCUCCAUUGAAGAGUGGAGAAGAGCUCUGGUUAUUGUAGUGCAUUUCAGCUCAAUGGCCUAUUUCAGUUUCCUCCAAAAUUUUUGAUGAUCUGACAGUGAGUUGUACGUUUACAAAAUGAUUAAUGAAGGAGAAACAUAACUUUCUUUUGAAAUUUAUUCCUUUUCAUAAGUGAAACUGAAGGGAAAACUAGCAAAAAAAAAACAAAACAAAAACAAACAAAAAAACCCUUCAGCAUUCUCUAUUCCAUUAAGCUUCAGUUUCCAACAUGAGUAGAAAACAGUAAUAAUAUUUUGCUGACAAACCUUGCCUCUUGCUGACCAUUAACUUAUGAUUAGGAAAUGAAGGAACCGGGUUUCAAUCUAUGAGACUGAGAGGAGAGCUUAAUAUAUCUGGUGACAUAACAGACCUGUCAGAGAUGUUUUGUCACAGGCUUGAAACACAAGGAAGUUUCUCUUGCUUUAAGGGGAUGCCAGGAAGGUGCUGUGUUCCCUCCCAGUUAAAACUCUGUGAGGAAGGACAAGAGAAUUAGCAGUUCAUGUGGGAGCUUACUCAUGUGAAUGCAUACAAACAUAAAGAAAUAAUGAAGAAAUAAUGUUUUUGCUGAUAAUGUGAUUUGUGGUAUUCAACCAUAUGAGAAAGAAGUUAAUUUUGGAGUAGCUGUCGUAUUGAUCCUGCACUGACAUUAUCCCAUUUCUGAAAUGCUAAGAGUAGAACUAUUGCAGAAUUUAUAGAUAAUUUUGUAUGUUAUAUUUCACAAAAUAAGAAAGUCUGCUGUAUCUGUUUAAACAACAAAGAGGGAAGGCAGUACGGAUUUAUUACAGCAACUGAAAGCUGUCCGUGCAAAUACUUCCUAGCUCCAUUUCUGCGUACAAUUAGGAAUUGGAAAGUUUAAGCAGAUUUUUUUCCUGUUGUUAACAAGGGGCAAGUCCCAAGCUGCCCAACAGGGGGUGGGAUGACUGCAUUUGAAAAAACAAAAAAAGAAAAGAAGGCAAAAGCUCAUGAAAUUGUCUAUACUUUCUUGUCUGCUGCCUAAUUUCAAGGCCGAAGCUAACUGGGAGCAUCUAACUUCAAAAAAAGUGGCUUAAAACCAGGCAUGUGAGCCUGUAAAUGUGCAAUCUGUAUGGCUUACAUUGCUGUCAUUUUAAAUACUUGAAAGAUAAGGGCUCUAACAGACCCUUAUGCAUUACUGGUGACUUCCACGUAAAUUUGCUAGCUUUGCAAGUUAAAUGGGUUUUUCAAAAGGCUGCUGUGUUAGGCACAGCUAGAAACUCUCAAACAGUCUGUUUGUGCAUUGGUUUUCAUCACUGGCCAUCAACAGCAGAGAAAUCCUAUCUUAAAGUAGCUGGCAAAUUUUUCUGAUGAUGCCUGGGGCAGAAUUGGAUAUCACUUGCUGCUAUGCUGCUCUAUUUGUUCUGUAAUGCUGACAGCAAUACAAACAAGUUGGCAGUUUGCUAACCAGACAUGAAUGCAAAGAAAUGGAGCGAACAGAUAUUUUGCAUCAAAUUGCAAAUUUUAGUCACUUACAGAAAAGCAAGUCUCAACAUUAGCUUUCUUUCUUCGUAAGUGAGGAGAUGGCUUCCAGUGUUGAAUGUCUAGUGAAAAGUAAAUCAGAAAAUGAGCAUUCGAUUGGAGAACUAUGUUGUGCUAAACAACCGAAAUAAAAUGUUGUUGAUGAAUUUUGAAUAUUCAGUAGCCUGGCAAAGCACUUAAAGCAAUUGCAAAAUAAAAAAGGUCAAGGAAGCAAAGCAGUAUGUGAAUUGUAUAUCUCAUUGAAGUGGUAUGUCAGCAGAAUUAUUAGGAUCUGUUUUAAGGUACUCAUUUAUGUAGUCAGGUUUUUAUGUUAUAUGUACUCAGCAAUUAUUGUUCAUUUGGAAUGUUUCCUCUUUUUUAAUAUACAACAGACUUUUUUCCCACUGUGCAAAUAUGUUCUGAACAGUGCUAUCGAAGUCCACGAAUUAUCAGAGUGCUGUUUUCAGACUGUUGUGUAAGAUCUGAAAUUUGCAAUGUCAAAAGAAUAGGUCAGCAACCAAAUUGUGCCAGCACAACUUUUUCAAGGCAUAUGUUGGAGCCUGUUACGUGCAGUGGUAUGUAGGGGUGAGCAGAUGUUGUAUGCUGUCCUGUCACCUUUAAAAUGUGCAUUUCUUUUUAACACAGCGUGUUCUCCUCACUGUACUUUUUCCUGUUAACAACAUUUUUCUGGGGAAAGAGUUCUAAGGAACCAAAUUUCCCAAGAUAUUCCAAAGUUCAGGCUGGAAGCUCAUAUGUUCCCAUUUUAAGCAUCUUAGAAACAAGGAAGUUAUGCUAACAUUUUUACUAAUCUAUGUAUAAAUAUAUAAAACUAUGUAGAGCACAUUCAUACAUAUACACAAGAACAAAUGGGUGCCUUGCUUUUCAUUACUUUUUCUUGCCUGGCUUAUCUUCAUUUUCUAAACAAAGCUACUUACAGAUUCUGCAUUUUUCAUUAUGGAACAUUAGCAUAGCAUUUAAUCUUGAUGAAACAGGGUUUUCUUGAUUACAUUAGAUGUACCAUAAACCACUUCAACAGAUUGAGAUUUGACAGAGAUUCACCUCCCAUGGAUUGUAUUUGAGACAAAUGUGUCCAUACUGAGUGUUACUUGGGGAUGCAGAAGGUCUCCAAUGUCUGCAAAAGAUAAUAAUUUUAGCUUUUAUUGUACAGUGAUGGCAUGCCAUCUUGUACAAUGAAAAAGAAAUGGUGUGUAAGUCUUUGGCAGAAAGUGGUAUAGGAUAUAAAAUGUUAGAUUUUAAUUAUGUUGAUUAAUACUCCAUUUCAAAUACAGAAGAAACUUUAGUUAGUAAAUGUUUAAAUAACAUGCUGGAACAGACAAAAGAUGCUGUUGAAAGAUCUCCAAACUGAUGUGCUGGCAAAUGCAAAGUACUGGUGAGCUGUAGAAGAGUAAACCAUUUUGCAGUGCUCUAGUGAUUUUCUCCAGCUUUAUGCAAUAGGAAUCCUAUCUCCCUUUUUGAAAGAGAACAUGAAAGCUAUAUUUCCUAAACUGCCUGCAUUACAACAGUAUAUUGAAAGGAAUUUCAUAUGCUUCUUGUGUCUGAUAAAUAGAAUUUGCAUAUUGUACUUAAGUUGUAUUCCAGUUGUUGUUGACAUUUGUUUAAUUAUUAUUAUUUUAGAGGGGAAAAUAAGCUAUACUGUAGCAUUUCAAUCAUGUGUAUUUAAUAGUACUCUUAGAAGUUGCUACACUGUUGGAAGACAGCAAUGACUGUAUUAACAUUGAUUAGCAUGAUGUGGAAAAUCUCAGCUGUUGGUUUUUGCAGUGUGAUAUAAAAAGCAAAAAUGAACCGCUGUGCAGUUUGGCUUAUGUUUGCUUUCAAGUGUGUAAAAGUUUUAGUUUCUUGCAAAACUACUGUAUUUGGGAGUAUACAGUUCUGAAGGUAACAACUGUUUUUCAAAGGACAGGUAUACUUACUCUUGGAUCAUAUGAUGUAUCAUCUUAAUUUGGCUUUUGUUAUGCAGAAAGUUAACACCAGCUAUUAAAAUAUAUUUUAGUAGAAAUGCUUUAA